GCUUGGAGAACAUCCUGUCCCUGGACUGGAGCAGCCGCUGCCGGGAGGAUCGCGAGAGCUCCUCGAUCCGCCGCCGCCGCUCCAGGGUAUUCAGUGGAAGGAGUUCGCAGAGGGCUCCUGGAAAGGGUGAAAUGUCUCUGAGAAGAUGAGGUUCCCUACCGAGGCCCUGAUGACUGGAUUGAUCCCCAGAUUAUGAACAAACAGAAAAAUGAAGGUGAAGAGAACUGAGU